rnacentral:tRNA from 1 species
GGAGAGGUUGCGUAGUCUGGCUUAACGCGCUCGCCUGGAAAGCGGGUAUACUGAAAGGUAUCAAGGGUUCGAAUCCCUUCCUCUCCGCCA